rnacentral:lncRNA from 1 species
UUUCCAGGCAAGAGUACUGGAGUGGGGUGCCAUUGCCUUCUCCGGUAACAAUAACUAGAGCACAUUUGAAGAGUCUGAGACAUAAGCUGCCUCCAUCUGCCACCUGAAGUUAGUUGUGGGGAGAAAGCUAGUCUAGCUGCCAGCCUAUGAACAGUGCAGAGCCCAUCCUGUGUGUAGCUCCCCCCUCGGAGGGCUGGUGAGAUAUAGAAAGAUAAGCUGGGUAUUUAAACGGCUGACAUGAGCCAGGCCUUUCCUCCACCCGGGUGCCCACCAGCCCUCCCUCCACGGCUGAGAAGGUCUGGAACCAUGUGCCAGCUAAGUGGUGUCCAGUGGUGCCCAGCAUGCCCUGCCCCAGGGUCCCUGCCCCGGCGCUGAGCCACGUGAGCCCCCGAGUGAGAAGUGGAAGGGUGUGUUCCCCAGGGGUCUGCUCUGUUGGAAACUAUCCCGCUUCUCCGUUUUACUCACAUGUGGUUUUCCAAAGAAGGACACAAAGGUGAUUCUUUUUCUGAUUAUCUGGUGGGCAGUAUGCCUUCGCCAGGAGAAGGUUUUACACCUCCAACCGCUUGACGAGUGAAAAUGCCGUCCCUGAAUCCUGUCUCCCAAGAGCAGAGAGGGCCUGGCCCGUAAGAACGGGCCUCUGCUCUUCCUCCACCUUCUGUCGACAGGUGGUGUGGUCAGCAUCACACCGCCGCCGCUGUGGAUUCAACACUGCUGUGAAUGGGGCUUCCAGGCACCCUAUUCAUGUCCGUCUGAGACCUGCAAGAAACCCCUUUGCUGGCCUCUGAACACAAGCGGACCUCUCACGGCUUCGAAUUAAUCGGGAUAUGCAGAAAGGGGCCGUCAGCCUGGGGACUGUGGAAAGGUGGGCACUACUGUGGAGCCACCUGCACGGUGAGUGUCGGGAGCCAAGCCCAGGCCGGCCGUGGCCGUGUCCAGCCGUAGGAGGGGUGUGUGGCUGCAGCUGCUGUGUCCAGAAGGGUUUCCUGACCACAGUGGGGUCAAAGAGUGAUGUUGGACCCACACUCCCGCUCCUUGAAGCUGGCUUGGCUGAAGCAGAGGAAGGCAGCUUGCAGACAGGUCGGGGCACCGCUUAUACCGAUGUUGGGUCUGUGUUUGAGCCCUGUCAUUUCAAAUGACCUGGUCACUUUGUGUUUGUCUCCGCCUCCUUCAUCUUCACAGAAAACUGGGACUUAUAACAGUGCUGACCCGAUAGGGGAUGUUGGGAAGAUUAAAUGAGAUUCUGCAAAUAGAGACCUAAGACUGCGCCUGCUACAUGUUGAGUGCUUGCUCCAUGACUGACGGAUGUUCAGUUCAGUCCAGUCCAGUCGCUCAGUCGUGUCCGACUCUGCGACCCCAUG